GCCCACAGGAAGUUUCAGAAAUAAAGCACUCGAUUCGUAAUCGAGCGGUCGCGGGUUCAAAUCCCGCCGUUGGCU
rnacentral:tRNA from 1 species